GCCAGUGUGGUGUAGUGGUUUGAGCAUUGGACUGUGAUUCUGAGGACCAGGGUUCAAUUCACCACUCAGCCA